UCGUAGCCCAGAUAGUAGCGGAAACCCCGCAGGACUGAAAGCCAAUUUUUCUUCGCUUUUUGGGGCAACCAAAGAAGCCACGAAAAAGCGUUAGAAAAAUGGCUUGAAGGCCGAGGAGUUGCAGCGGAUAGCUGGAUUAGCU
rnacentral:sRNA from 1 species